rnacentral:lncRNA from 1 species
CUGGGGGGUGCUGCUGUGUUCCUGAGGCUUCCAGGGAAGGCAGUGGGCGAAGGUCUGUACCGUGCUAAGAUUGAGUCUGAGGAACUGACUGAGCAAAGAAGACAGCUCAAGAUGUUCCCUUAUCAGUUUUCAUGUAUGGACUGAGUACUGAUUAUAACUGUGUAAUGCUGGAUGCCAUUGAAGAGUGGCCAACAAAAUGGAAAUGAAAGAAACUGCUAAACAGGAUACACUGUGGCAAAUGAGCUCAACUAGCAAACCCGUGUUGAAUACUCGUGAAGUCAAUCCUUUGAAGAAAUUCACCAUUCCUAAGAUCAGGAGGACAGCUGAGAAAGUUUACUUGUCACCUUGUUACACCAAUAGUAGAGAGUAUAGUUUUAUACAUGAUACUCUUAACCAGUGCAGGCUUGAUGUAAACUGUGAUCUGCAGUCGUUAUGGCAGUUUGGGGAUACAAAACUGGUUCACAAUGAGGAACUGGAAAAAAAUUUUACUGCUAAGAGGUCAGAGAUGCGUGAAAGUGGAAGACAUUGCAGGGAACUUGAAGAACAGUUCUGCUUUUUAGCACUUCCCCAGAGUGAUGUAGCCCAGAUAUAUCAGAAUGGAAUAAGUACCAGAGCAUCUACAUUGAAGAUACUAGGAAAUCCUCUUCUUGGAAUUUAUAUGUUUAGACAUGUUGAUAUUGCCUUGAAUUAUUCUCAUAGUCAAAGCAUUACUGUAGAAAGUAUUUUAAUUUUUAAGGUUCUCUUUGGAAAAGUGAAGAAAAUCCAACCUUCUGUGGAUAAAAAUAAAGUUUCUUUGGAUCCUUCUCCUAACUUUGAUUGCCAUAUGUCAAGAAAUGCACCUUCUUUGAAAGAUACCAUUGAACUGCAAGCCUACAGUUCAGCAGUA